ensembl:lncRNA
AAGUGAUGAAAAAGUGGUGAUAAGGCAUUCAAAUCCUUCUGUUAAGAAGUUUUGAGGAAGGAAAGAGAAAUAUAGAACGAUUAUUCUUGUUUUCAGAAUUGACAAAACGGCUUAUUGAACUACAGAUGUCUUUGCAUCACCAAUUGCACUGAGAAAAAAGGCUGUCAAUUAAUCUUGCUGUGCCUGGGUCAGGUCUCCUCUGGCUGUUUAGAAGACAGUCAAAUGCCCCCGGGGUAGGGAGUGGCGAAGGAGGAGGCAGAGUAGGUUUGAAGAAGUGGGUAAGAAGCACUUACCUCUUCACCUUCUCUAGAUAAAGAAAACCCACCAGUCACUCUCCUCUUGUCUUAGGUCUGAGUUUCCCUUGCCCUCUGAUGCCACCUCAGAGAGCAGCCCCCUCUUCCAGGCUUCUGACCAGCUGACCUCUAGAGGGACCAAUUUCUGCUCUUGGAUCGAGAACAAGGGGCUGGAAUCAAUAAGAGGACAGAUUCUUCUCCUUUGUCUCCCUGUCUUCCUGAUCAGUCAGAUGCAGUAGCUCUGGAGAGAGGCAAGUUCCCCUACACUGGAGAUAGAAGUGAGGGGACCACUGCAGCUGCACCACUGGGAUGUUAGAGCUCCAACAGAGGGAUUGAAAUAAACCAUCAUGAAAGUCUCUCUGGGCCUGAGCU